UACGGAGGGUGCAAGCGUUAGUCGGAAUUACUGGGCGUAAAGGGUGCGUAGGUGGGGAUGUAAGUUAGAUGUGAAAUACCGUUGCUCAACAACGGCCGUGCAUCUAAAAACUGCGUUUCUAGAGGGAUAGCGGAGAAAACGGAAUUCCACGUGUAGCGGUGAAAUGCGUAGAUAUGUGGAAGAACACCUGUGGCGAAAGCGGUUUUCUAGCUCAACCCUGACACUGAGCACGAAAGCAAGGGGAGCAAACAGG
rnacentral:rRNA from 1 species